UCAUAAUAUUAAAUUACUCUAUCUUGAUUAUUUUAUGCAUGUUUUAUACUUUCUAGUAAGAUUACAAAGAUUUAAGUAAUAAUUAAACCAGAUUAUAUACCCAAAAUAGAAAACUUAGUUGUUAAUAUCGAGAUCCUCUUGAAGAUCCUUCUUGUUCAUAAUAACUCACAUGUUGUAAGAUAUUCUUUUGUGAUUAAAAUACCAUUUUGCCUGUCUGCUUUAUUGAAAAAGCUUUGAGGAUGUGAAUGAGCCACGUACAUGUAAAAAAUAGAAGAGGGAACGAGUGGGUUUUAGAUAAUGAGGAGCUUCCUCUACUGUCCCCACAAGGUAUUUUUUUUCUUUCAAUUUUUAGAGUAAUCCAAAAGAGAAUUGAUUUUUACUCAUUUAAAACAUCAGGUCUAGAACAACAACUGAAUGUAUUCUUUUGUGGAAGAAAAAAAACUAGUAUAAAAAAAGCUUGUUUUUUUGGGUUCAUUUGUGUUGUUGAGGAAAAAUACUUUUUUUUUUGGCUAUAUUGUGAGGCUGUGGUGUUUCCUCGGAAUAAAGCACACUUUUUGGUUUUGUGCUUUAAAGUUGAAGUAUUUGGGGUGAGUGGUUGUUGUUAUUUUGUUUGCUCUGGAUGAAAUAAGAGGUCAGCUUCUCUCCUUGGUAAUAUCGUUCUCUCUCUCUCAUGAAAACGUGUAGCAUAGCAUGCCCUUGUGCAUUUUGAUGAGGCAUUGGAUUCUGUCUGCUGAUUCUUUUUGAGUGAGUUUGUCUCUCUUAAGGAAGACCUUAGAUUGCUUUUUUUUGCUUGUUUGUACUGUUUUUCUUGGUAAAUAGGUUGAUAACUUGAAUAAAAUGAAGUUGAGAGACUUCUGAAAUGAUGGGUUUGGCCUUCCUUUUACUGAAAAUGUGUUCUUGAUUCGAUAUGGCUAUGGUGAAAGUGAAAGGAUGUGCUAGGAUUCUAAGAAUUUCCCAGCUGGUUAAUGUUGUGGCCCUUGGGCUACAUACAAGUUAUACGUAGAUAACAAUGGAGGGUUCAUCUGAAUCUGGUUGGGAGGGAUCAGAUAGUUAUAGGGGUUUGAAUUCUUCAGCUCUUGUGGACAGGAAUCCUAGAUUUCAAACGAGCAGCAUUAGGUCCUCCAAUGAUGUGUUGCAUGAUUCUGGGUUUGUUCCAGGUAGAAAGGGGAGGGAGAUAAUUGAGUUCCCUCCUGCAAAUCAUCUUAAAGCCCAAGGUGGGGUUGCAGAGGAUAGGCUCACUGUGGAUCGAGGUUGUCGCGGAACAGACUUUAGUGGUGUUAGUUUGAGGCAGUGGCUGGACAACCCAGAGAGAGCUGUUGAUGCUCUUGAAUGUCUGCACAUAUUCACCCAAAUUGUGGAGAUUGUAAACCUGGCACAUUCACAGGGAAUAGUUGUUCAUAAUGCACGACCAUCAUGUUUUGUCAUGUCCUCUUUCAAACGUAUUGCAUUCAUCGAAUCCGUAUCCUGCUCGGAUUCAGGUUCAGAUUCAUCAGAUGAUGGUUUAAACAGCCAAACUGUCGAGUUAAAGGAUUCAUCUUCAGUUUUGCCUCAUAAAUCGGAAGGGCUGGGGAUUCAUAGUUCUCAGCUUGAGAAGAUUUCUGUAAAAGCUUCAAUCGGAUUAUCUGAAAACUGUUGCUUACAGUCAAGCUCAGGCCAUAUGGUUCAGACUUUAGAAGCUAGUAUGAACAGACUUGAAGAAAAACAGCACACCUUCCCAAUGAAACAAAUGUUGCUCAUGGAAACCAAUUGGUACACUAGUCCAGAAGAAAUUGCUGGUGCUCCAAGCUCUUGUGCUUCAGACGUUUACCGACUUGGAGUCCUUCUCUUCGAGCUAUUCUGCACCUUCAGCUCAUCAGAAGAGAAAAGCGCAACUAUGCAUAGUCUGAGACAUCGUGUCCUCCCUCCUCAGUUGUUGUUGAAAUGGCCAAAAGAAGCUUCAUUUUGCUUAUGGUUACUGCACCCCGAGCCGAGCAAUAGGCCAAAAAUGGGUGACUUGCUAGAAAGCGACUUCCUUAAUGCUCCAAGAGAUGAGUUUGAAGAACGUGAAGCAGCAAUAGAACUUAGAGAAGAAAUAGAGGAGCAAGAGUUAUUGCUGGAAUUCCUUUUGCUAAUUCAACAACGAAAGCUGGAGGCUUUACACAACUUACGUGAGAUUGUAUCUUUUUUAUCAUCUGACAUAGAAGAGGUCUCAAAGAUGCAGAAGACCCUUAGAGUCGAAAGGGGUUCAAAUCAGGAGCCAGUAAGGGAUUUAGGUUCAGGAAAGAUAAAUAUUGCUGAAGAUGAUGAUGCUGGGUGCUUUGGAUCUAGAAAGAGAUUUAAGCCAGGCCUUUCUAUACACACAGCUGAGGAAUACAAUGGCAAUCCAGAUGAGUCUGAGAAACAUGUCGAAAACAAAGGGAGCAUUCUGGCAAAAAAUUCCCGGUUGAUGAAGAACUUCAAGAAAUUGGAGGUGGCUUAUUUCAUGACAAGACGUAGGGUUAUCAAACCGACAGGCAAAUCACUAUAUAGACAUUCUCAGGCAAGUACGGAUUGUAGAACUGCAGUUCUGGCACCUGAAAGAAGUUCAAUGAGUAAUUUGGCAUCAAAAGAGGGGUGCAAUGAGGAUAGACAGAGUGGAUCAAUCAGUUCAUUCCUGGAGGGACUGUGCAAGUAUCUAUCUUAUAGCAAGCUGGAAGUGAAGGCUGACUUGAAGCAAGGGGAUCUUCUAAAUUCUUCCAAUCUUGUAUGUGCUCUAGGCUUUGAUCGUGAUGGUGAAUAUUUUGCAACUGCUGGUGUAAAUAAGAAGAUCAAAGUUUUUGAAUAUAAUUCAAUUGUUAAUGAGGACCGCGAUAUCCACUAUCCAGUUGUUGAAAUGGCUAGUAGAUCUAAGCUAAGCAGCAUAUGUUGGAAUGGCUAUAUCAAAAGCCAGAUCGCGUCAAGUAACUUUGAAGGUGUGGUGCAGGUAUGGGAUGUCACAAGAAGUCAGGUUUUCAUGGAAAUGAGAGAACAUGAAAGGCGUGUCUGGUCUGUUGACUUUUCUGCAGCAGAUCCAACCAUGUUGGCUAGCGGGAGUGAUGAUGGUUCUGUCAAACUCUGGAAUAUCAAUCAGGCAAUUCUAUUUCUGCACUUGGUGGAUGUCAGCUUUGAAACUAAACGGAGUAAGUGUUGGAACCAUCAAAACAAAAGCCAAUGUCUGCUGCGUUCAGUUCCCCUUUGAUUCUGGUCGCUCCCUUGCUUUUGGUUCAGCUGAUCACAAGAUAUAUUACUAUGAUCUACGUAACUCAAAAAUGCCUCUAUGCACAUUAAUCGGGCACAACAAGACUGUGAGCUAUGUCAAGUUCAUAGAUUCCACAACGCUUGUGUCUGCAUCUACAGAUAACACAUUAAAACUAUGGGAUUUGUCAAUUUGCACAUCCCGGAUUCUUGAUACACCUCUUCAGUCAUUUACUGGACACAUGAAUGUAAAGAACUUUGUUGGCUUAUCUGUAUCUGAAGGUUACAUUGCUACUGGCUCGGAGACGAAUGAGGUCUUUGUCUACCACAAAGCUUUUCCUAUGCCUGCAUUGUCAUUUAAAUUUAAUAGCACAGAUCCUCUAUCUGGUGGUGAAGUGGAUGACCAAGCACAGUUCAUCUCAUCUGUCUGUUGGCGUGAUCAGUCCUCUACCUUAGUUGCUGCGAAUUCUAUGGGAAAUAUCAAGCUGUUGGAGAUGGCUUAAUGUGGUCCAUGUUCUCCAAAGGUUCGUACUUGCCUUCAGGAUAAAAAGACGUGAACGGUAAGGGUUCUGCAUUGAUGAACAAAUAGGUUGCUGUGAAGAGGUCAACUAGAUCGGAUACCAUAGUGAACAUGGAGAUUGCCAUCAUCAAGAAACCAAGAUUUUUGCUAGUAGUAAUCAUAUAGUGGAAGUAGAUUCAACUGGAAAUAUGAGAACAUAUAUUGGUCUUAGUGUGAAAUGCUGUAUAUAAAAGGGAAAGGAUGCAAAUAUGAAUUUCUCUGUAUAUUCUGUAAUUUCCAGAGUUCAAAUGAAUUUUCUUGAAGGAACUGUGUGAAUGUGAUCUCCAGAAAAUUCUAUGUUUUGGACUAUGGAAGCAAUUUAGCAGAAAAAUACAAGCAGCAUUUAGAAA